UACGGAGGAUCCAAGCGUUAUCCGGAUUUAUUGGGUUUAAAGGGUGCGUAGGCGGCCACUUAAGUCAGUAGUGAAAUCUCGAGGCUCAACCUCGAACGUGCUAUUGAAACUGAGUGGCUUGAGUACAGACGAGGCAGGCGGAAUGUGUUAUGUAGCGGUGAAAUGCAUAGAUAUAACACAGAACACCGAUAGCGAAGGCA
rnacentral:rRNA from 1 species